UAAACAUGAAUAUGUAUGAGAUACGUCUAAGAUAUAAAAGGAAUCUGAUGCAUUAUUUUAUUCCCGGAAUUAUUAUACAUAUUCAUUCUGACAUAUAUAUGUAACGUUAAAUGAUGCAUGGUAUUUUAUUUAGCCCUUAAAAAAAUGUAAAAAGGUUAAAGUAAAUAUAAACCAAGUGCACAAUGCACCAAUGGUGCAAACUAGGCCAAGUGGUUCAUUUAUAUGUGAAAUGUACGGGGUUUCAUUGUAUUUAGAAUUUGUAAUUUAUUUAUCGUUAUUGAUUAUAUAUAUCCUAAUUGUAUAAUCAGAUCUGUAAACACAACAAUGCUUUCAACAUAUUUAUCCGACUAUUUAAUUGUCCGAGGUAUCUUGACGUUCGCGCGCGUUCCCAAGGUAAACAUGCCACACCCAUCAUGCCGCUUGUUACAUUUACUCAGUACCAAGAAGUGAAUUUGUUUAUUGAAAACUUAGAGCGGGAUACAACAUCGCGAUACAUCACACAAAGAAUAAGUAACAAAAGACACUUCAGUUUGCGACCAAGUGAUGUAACAUCUUUAAAGGGUCACAAAAUUUUAUGGCAAGAUUGUCAAAACACAGCUUGUCCCUCUGUGGACUUCGAUGGCAUUCCUUACAUCAAUAUAAGAUGGAUGGUAAAAGAAUGUCACCUAGGACCAGACAGGCAGAGGAGAGCAAAAGAAAAGAAGAAACAAAAACAUGAACCUGGAGACCAUGAUUAUUUUAAUAAGAGAAAAGCAUGUAGACAUAUCCAAAUGUCUAAAAAGCAAUCUUGUCCAGCAGCCAUUAGAAUUAAGAGUUAUCAUGAAAUUUCCUGAUUUUUGGGUAGAUUCAUUCAACAAUAAGUUGAUGAAAAGAAAGAUUUCAAAGAAUAUCAAACAAGCUUUUGCAAACAGAGACAGAAUUCAGAAGUCAGUUGUUUAUUUGCUGUCAUAUCCAAGUGCCAAUGACCACAUAAACCAUCUUACUGGAGAGUUUGCAGGAAUCACACAGCGAAUAGAUUUAAGGCUGAUAAGCCGCAUAAAAGAACUUGUUGCUGAUGGAGUAAGAAAUGUUCCUGAAAUGAAGAGACACAUGUCAAUUUCAGUGAAAAAAGACAAUUAUGCCCAAACCAGGAAAUUCCGAGGACAAACAGAAGAUUCUAUCCAUUGGAUAAGGAUAUUAAAAACCACAUGGAUAAUGCCAUUAACAGCUUAAGGUUUUCCAAGGAUGACCACCUUAACCUUGAGUCUUUGGUAGAGACCUGGCAGGAAAGUUAUCCUGAAGACAACUUCUUUUUAAGGACAUCAUAUGAUACUACUGACCACAGAGAAUCCCCAUCAGAGGACUUCCUGUUUGUUCACCAGACAGCAUGGCAAAGACGUCUUCUGAGCAUGUAUGGGGCAGAUAUUUGCAUCAUGGAUGCCACAUAUAAGACCUCCAAAUAUGCACUCCCUCUGUUCUUUAUAUGUGUUCAGACUAAUGUUGGGCAUUCUAUAUGUGGUUCCUUCCUGGUUUCCACAGAGAGUAAGAAAGCAAUCCAUGAGAGUUUGAUGAAAAUUAAGGAAUGGAACCCAGGAUGGACUCCCAAGUAUUUCAUCACUGACUAUGAUGAAAGAGAAAUUCAGGCAGUUGAGGAAAUUUUUGAAGAAUGUACUGUAUACCUCUGCUCUUUUCAUCGGGAACAAUGGUGGAUACGUUGGUUGAAACAAAUUGCACAUUGGGUUGGUUCAAAUCAAGAUGAGAUCAUUGAAUUGAUGAGAAGAAUAGCUAAUGCUGAUUCAGAAAAUGAAUAUAAAGAAGCUGUGGACAGACUGAAAGAACACCCUCAUUGGCAAAGUAACCAGCGGAUGCAAAAGUGGUUUGACAAACAUGCAGUGGCUAUCAGUUGCACAUCGAUGGGUUAAAGCCUUGAGACAAACAAGUUACAACAUUAGGAUCACGACAACAAAUGGACUUGAAAGGAAACAUCAGGAAUUUAAAAGAGGCUACCUGUCACAUUACAGUGAAGAUAAGGUGUGAGACAUGUGACAAGUUCUUUCAUGGUGGUUGUAUCAGAGUUUUAAACUUUAGAUGUGAAAUGUGUACUUCACUUGACCAACACAGUCUGAAUCUGGAACUUAAUCUAAGAAAAGAUCCACCUAAGAUAUGGUCAUACAAAUAUAGAAGAAACUAUCAAGGAUAAAGAUGUAGAGUUGGAGGGCAGCAGAAAAUCUAGUGUGUGUUCUGUUUCAAGAAAACCAAUGCGAAAAAUACACUUCACAAAAUAUAAGCAGAGCAUAAGUACUAUGAAAAAUGACAAUAUUGAACCUUCAGAAGAGGAGAUCAACUGGGUUAGCAAAUGCACAGGAGCAAAGAAAAGAAAGAGGAGUUCUUUUAUGUACUCUGAUAUCCGGCAGAAUGACAAUGAAACCAUGCAGACAAAUCUUGAUGAUGCCAGGCAGAAUGACAAUGAAACCAUGCAGACAAUUCUUGAUGAUGCCAGGCAGAAUGACAAUGAUGAUGCAACUUGUUCUUCUGAAAUUAAUACAGAUUUCAUCUCAAGAAAUGUAAACAGCAUUGUGAAAACUGUUAGAGACAUUAUGAACUGCAGCUUAACCAAAUGUGAUGAGGUUGAACAUUAAGCGGCAUCAUCAAUUCAUGAACAACCCUGAAAAGGUUUACAGGGACAAUUUUGUAAAAUAUUGUUUUGGAGCCAAUUAUAUUCAACCCGAGGAAUUAGAAUACCUUCAACAUUUUCUUUAUGAAAUGAUGUGCACCAGCAAAUUUUUACCAGGAUCUAUUUUCUCCCGUUACUCCACAUUUGUUGACUGCAAAAAUGAACAACUCGAGCAAAUCUUUAUUGCUUAUCCUUUAAUGGGACAUCAGUACUUAAAAUUUGUUGUUCUGAAAGAGGCCAUGAUACACUUAGUUUGCAUAAGCACUGGACUCCCUUAUGAAGAGGCAAAUGAAAGAUGCAUUAAAACAGAAAUGUCUGUAGCUGAAUUUAGACGUGGCGCUAACUGAAAUUCAAGGAAGUUAUGGAUAUUUUUUUCGAUUUUGAGGGGAUGUUAUUUUCCAGAGAAUAUCUUAAAAACAGUCAACAGAUUUGAUUCAAACUUUGUAUAUAUAGUAUGUGUUAUAACUAAGUUGUGCACCUGUAAUUUUUAUUGAGAUAAUUUAACGUUAAAGGAAGUUAUGGAUAUUUAUGCCCCCGAGAUCGAAGAUCGGGGGGGCAUAUUGUUUUUGUCCAGUCUGUCAUUCUGUAAUUCUGUCUGAAACUUUAACCUUGCUAAUAACUUUUGAACAGUAAGUAAUAAAGCUUUGAUAUUUCACA